rnacentral:lncRNA from 1 species
GGGUGCUAGAUCUAAUGCAUGGAAAGCAGUUAGGUUUAAAAUUACAUAAGCAUCAACACUACGGAAUUUUUUGCAUUGCAGGGAUGUGUUUCCAUGAUAACAUGAAACCAUUCAUAAGUGCAGUCCCAACUUGGUGUGUUUAAUUAUAGACAUGGAUCAUAGUCAUACUGAAUAUGAACUCAUGCUGACGCUAGAGAAUCAGUACAAAUGCUAUUUAUUGGUGUCUAGGAGAAAAACC